UACAGAGGUCUCAAGCGUUGUUCGGAUUCAUUGGGCGUAAAGGGUGCGUAGGUGGCGCGGUAAGUCGGGUGUGAAAUCUCGGAGCUUAACUCCGAAAUUGCAUUCGAUACUGCCGUGCUCGAGGACUGGAGAGGAGACUGGAAUUCAUGGUGUAGCAGUGAAAUGCGUAGAGAUCAUGAGGAAGACCAGUGGCGAAGGCGGGUCUCUGGACAGUUCCUGACACUGAGGCAUGAAGGCCAGGGGAGCAAACGGG
rnacentral:rRNA from 1 species